rnacentral:rRNA from 1 species
GUGCCAGGCCGCCGCGGUAAUACCGGCAGCCCGAGUGAUGGCCGAUCUUAUUGGGCCUAAAGCGUCCGUAGCUGGCCGCGCAAGUCCAUCGGAAAAUCCACCCGCCCAACGGGCGGACGUCCGGCGGAAACCAUACGGCUUGGGACCAGAGGACCCGAGGGGUACGUCGGGGGUAGGAGUGAAAUCCCGAGAUCCUCGACGGACCGCCGGUGGCGAAAGCGCCUCGGGAAGAUGGAUCCGACGGUCAGGGACGAAAGCUUGGGUCUCGAACCGGAUUAGAAACCCCGGUAGUCC